rnacentral:lncRNA from 10 species
UUUUAAAAAAUUUGAUGACAGAGAAACAGAAGAAAUAAAAAUGCUGGGCCCUUUAUCUAAAUCCUAAAAAUUAUUAAACCCUUAGUACCAGCUCCCAGGGUGUUAUGAGAAUUAAAUUACAUAAUGAGGGAUGACCAGCACAGUGCUCUGUAUCUUACCCUUGAGCACAUAGUACCUGCUUAAUAAACAUUGCAUUAGUACAUGUUUACAUGUUGUUUUUUAAAUACAGACUUAUUCAGACAUUGCUGACUUUUGUUUCCUCUGUAAACUCUAAAGAGCCAGCAAAGACUAUAAAACUUUAGGAGGGAGAUGGGUUGUCCUUAUUUGUACCAGAAGUAUUUGGUGGUGACAAGAGUGCUAAGUGUAAGGGACCCUGUGCUGUGCCUGCUUUCUCUAAUGUUAAUAAUUCUCCAAGGGGGAGAAACAACUGCAUUGACAGGGGACUUGUUUAAAACACUCACUCUUGGACCCUUUUCAAACCUGCAGAAUCACAUUACAUUAAGUGGGGCCAAAAUUACCAGGUGAUUUAUAAUCUCAUUAAAGCUUGAGAGGCAAUGCUUAACUUAGUGGUUAUCAGCCCAGGCUUCCCAUUAGGAUCAAAUGGCCAAUUUGCAGAAAUCUCUUGUGCCCUCCCCACAGCUUCUGUUUAUCAUUCUCGGUGGAAGCAUCUAUCACGUUUUAAUGAAGGGCCUCAUGUGACUCUAAGGUUAGGCCAGAAUCAGGUAUGAGGCCCUCAAAAUACAUUCAUGAGAGUUAAGCUCCACCUUUGGACUAAAGGGUGGUCACAGGGCCAGUUCUGUUUGGGUUUAGUAGGGACAGGUCAGUGUGGUGCAUAUUUCCAUUAAGGUAGCAGAAAUUGCUAGUGUCUGUGGCAGGGGAGGGCACCUGAGGACAGGAAAGGAGAAACUUAUACUUUCAUCUUCAUGGAGCAUCUCAUUUUUCCUGAACCUCUUCUGUUUUAAAGGACAGAAAUGGGUGGACUUUUUCUGUCUUUUUCUGCUAGUUGAUGUCAUGCUAGCAGGUAAACACCUUUAAAAGCAUAUCCUUCAGAUGCAGGUUUAAUUUGUCCAGAAAAUCUCAUCUGAGAAGGAAUUCCAGAGAAGGGGAAAAAGAAAAAAAAAGGCUUUUCUUCAGGUAAACCUGUGUCAGAUGAAGACCUGUGUCCACUCUGCCUCCUGGACUGCCAUGCGUUUAGUACUUGCAAACCUUUAUUUUUCUACUUGUAUUUUUCCUCCCUAAUAAGUUUGAUUUAACUACUUGUUAAAAUUCUUAUGAUAGUCAAGGGUCUCUGAAAAAUAUUUCUUUCCUAUAUUCCAGAGCCAUCUCUGCAUUCUCUACAUCAUAGCUUCUUAUAUGUCACGCAGGAUUCUCAGCAAGGAUUUAUGAUCUGCAAUAUUAAAAAUGUUCCUUUUGUGGCUAUUGAACAUGGAAAGAUGUGGAUACUGAAGAUUUCUAUUGGGGAAAAGUGUGGUCCUUAGUAAAGAUGGAGAACAUGUAAUGUUGAGGCUCCAUCUGUGUGUUCCAUUAGCUCUAUGCAGAACAGGAUUAAGAAAAUGCUCAUUAAAAUGGGAUGGCAUUUAUUACCCAGAAAGUUCUGAAAAAACUUAUCAGGAGAUACUUGUUUUCUAGGGUGCUAAAUGAACCCUAUUUAAAAUUACUAGUAAAAAUUACAGAACAUAGGAGUUAUCUGGAUGUUGAAGUUUGCAUAAAACUCAUGUUUCUUUAUGGUUAAAUUCAGACUGUAAUUUAGUUUUUUGGGGAAGUAUAUUUCAACAGUGAUUCUGUGUUCUCCUGUGUGCAUUAGCACAUCGUAAAAAUUUGUCCUCGUGCAGUUAAUGGUUAAUGAUUCACUUGGUGAAUUAGCUCUCUGACAGAUUUUUUUCACCAUAGGGUUAAUUAUUUUUCUCUUCAUUAUUAAGUAUGUUUAUGCAGCUGAUGUGCAUAAACCAUCACAUUUAAUCUGGCAGCUGUCCUUUUUUCUUAUUUUUUUCUACAUAUCUCUCUUUGGAAAAUGAAGGCUUUUAUCUUUGCUUACAGGCUAAAAAAUCUGGGAAAAACACAGGCUCUUCCACUUACUGGAUGUUUGACAAAAUAUCCUUCUUGGGCCAAAAACAUUGGCAUUACUGGUGAGCUUCUUAGAAAUUAAAAAAAUCAGCCAAGUGCAGUGGCUCAUGCCUGUAAUCCCAGCACUUUGGGAGGCUGAGGCGGGCAGAUCACGUGAGUUCGGGAAAUCAAGACCAGCCUGGCCAACAUAGAGAAAACCCCAUCUCUACUAAAAAUACAAAAUUAUCCAGGGAUGUUGGUGCAUGCCUGUAAUCUCAGCUACUCGGGAGGCUGUGGCAGGAGAUUUGCUUGAACCCGGGAGGCAGAGGUUGUGGUGAGCCAAGAUCACAUCACUGCACUUCAGCCUAGGCAACUAGAUUGAAAUUCCAUCUCAAAACAAAAUUUGAGAGAUACCUUCUAACUCAACAUGUCUUUUCCAUCGGAAAAAUAUUCACAACUCAUUCUGUAUGAUGUAAAUAUAGCACUCAAAAAUGUACAUGUUCAUGUUCAUGCCCUUAAUUUUAUACUUUAUUAUAUGGAAAAAUAUAUGAAAUG